ACCUGGAUGGCUCAGCAGGUAGAGCGUGAGACUCUUGAUCUCAGGGUUGUGAGUUCAAGCCCCCAUGUU
rnacentral:tRNA from 1 species